ensembl:lncRNA
UUCAAAGACUCUGAAUUGAUCAACGUUUUCACAUCUCCGGCCAAAGACCAGAGCGCUUUGGGGAAUUGGAUGAUGUGUCGUCUCAACGUGAGAAGCUGUGAGCGACAUCUUCGUGGGAGUAAUGAAUGUACGUGCAGCGCAAACCAGAGAAGAUGCUGAGCAGAAUGUCCCAAAAUCAGCACCUUCAUCCAUCGAGAGGAUCAAAGAGACAAACUCCGGAUGGACAAAGACAGCGUCAUUGUUCCAGUGAAGUUAGAGUAGAAGUAAGUAAAGUACGACAUAGAAACCACUGAACGCGUCUCCUGAUGAUAUGAAAUGAAUCAGAGAGCCAAUAAGAAGCAUAUCCGCCCCCGACUCGUCAGCUAAACGCAAGUGGAGUCUCGC